GGGGGAGCGCCGGAUCUUGGGCUGUGUCCCCAGUGCCCUGUGCUCCCGGGCCUGUGCUGCUAGAAUCGUACUCCCCGCCGCACAGGUCCCU
rnacentral:pre_miRNA from 1 species